CCAGGGCGCUUCCACUUGCGCCACACGAUAACGGGCGGGGGGGCUGUUGGGAGGAGCUGCACACACCACACGGUGUGACCUUAUGGCACUAUCACGGAGAGCCGGCCGCAUGGGUAUUGUCAGGCUAUGUGGCACAGCCGCCCUUGUGUACCUGCCUGCAGGGGGAAGGGCGAUCCCGCGGUGCAGCCUAGCCACCUGCUUUGAUUUCAAUCCCGAUGCGUCCAUUUAUCAACAAUGUCGUCGGCCAGCCAUCCGCUUUGCUGUCAUGGUGUCCUUUAUGGCUGC
rnacentral:lncRNA from 1 species